rnacentral:lncRNA from 1 species
UCGAUGCCAAUUUCAAGAUAGUUCAUUUAAAACUUAGUAAUCUUUCAUAAACGAGAAAACCCAAACAGAGUUCGAAACAAAGGAAAAUUCAAAUAAAAAACAUCCCAAAAAUAAAAAAAAGAGGCAGCAGCAUAGAUUCUCUCAAUCUCUUCUUAUGUCACUGUUGUUUGGUUUCGACCUUCUUCUUCUGCCAGAGCCUGUCGACGCCACUGUCUGCGUCUCCCUGCAAUUUAAAUCAAAACGUUAAUAGACAAACACAAUAAUCAUACACUUUGUUAUAUAAACAAUCGUGGAAGACUAAUUUAAUAUUUGAAAUAAUGACAAAGUAGAUUAGAUGAGAGUUAUGACAGACCUGAGCACGGACAAACCCGCAGAGAGCAAGGGUGGUGAACUGGCCAGUGUAGAUACCAUCGGCAUCAAGAUGACCAAUGUUAAGCUGAACAGAGGCGUGAUCCUUUGAUGUGAUCAAUCUGUUUGUGGCCGAGCUGCAUAUUUACAACCAAAGAAGAAUUAGCUAAAUUUAAAUCAAAACAGUCAAUAAAGAAUAAUAACAAAGCCGAUAUACCAUUUCCUGGGAAUGUAUAGCUCAGUGACGACACCUUCUUCGUUUUGCAUGAUUCUUAGCUUUUAAAAUCGAUCUGAUCCAUUAAGAAACAAUUUCUCAUGAGAAAUAAUAGAACAUCAUUUUUUUUUUAAAAGAGAAACAUCUUCUCCAGCAGAGGAACAUGUUUUAUCAAUGAAGUGAAGAAUAAUCUCAAGCUCCUAACAGAGAGAUCAUCAACAUUCAACGAAAGUCUAAAGAUGACGCGUUUUAGUAGCAAAACGUAGGAUGAUAAAUGCAUAAACAGGAUCAAGAUAACUGCAAGGAGAUUAAAGAGACUAAGAUGUAUUUCUAACCUGUGAGAAGAAGUAGAAGAAGAAUGUGUGGAGAGAGAGCAGUCCGGCGGCGAGGGUAAAACGAGACUACAAAAGCAAUUUAUAGUUGCGACUUCUUAGGGUUUGCUUAGAUCUAGUAUAGCGAACCGAGCCAAUUUGAGCCGGUAUGUAAAUUGGAAUGAACCGAACCGAACCGAACAGGCUAAAGGGAAACUGGUUUAACCGAACUUAAUACAAGAUAGUUUCGGUUUAUUAGAAAACCGGAUGAUCGUCAAAAUGGAAUUAAACCGGUACAAAACCAGAAAAAGUUAUGGUUUGGAUUUGGAUGAACUAAAAAACCAAACUGAACUGCAUAACAGAGUCUCUAAUUCCAUAGCCAAUUAGCAUGUAAUCAUCAACUUACAUUAGAUUUUGAGUUCAUCUGUUACAGAACAUGGAACAUAUCAAUGAAAGAAACAAGAUUAUAUAAUGCUUGAUUCCCCUUGGCGAAUAUUUCAGAUUUUAAACAAUAUUUUUCAAAAUUUAGUUUUGUAGACAGAAGAAGUUGUUUCACUAGCAAGCGACAAACAAUGAUAACACAUACAAAUCUCGACGAAGCAAAACUGGUGUGUACAAAGUCUCUUCUUUGUUUCGUUACAAUGAGGAACUCAUAGUUCUCCAUGUUGAUCCUCUUCUCAUAGACCUCUAGACAAACCUGAUAUUGACACACAUCAAUAAACAAAGGUAGGUAAGAAACCACAGAAAAUAAUAUCAAUUCAAUGUGAACUUGAGUUUAAAUUUUAAACAGAACUCACACAAGAAUCACUUCAUCAAAAUCUUAACCAAAACUUGUUUUCAUGUCCCGAAACUGCGGUCUCCAGCAUCUCCAAGCCCAGGGAUGAUAAACCUAAUCCAUAUAAUAAACGUAUUAACGACAUUGUAUUAUUUGCUAGUUUGCUUCGAGAAAUCAAGAAGAAUCCAGUGAAAGCAGGCCUGACGACUUACCCCUUUUCAUUGACUUCAGGAUCGAUGAUUCCAGCAUACACAUGAAGCCUGGAAUGUUGCACACAGUUUCAUAAUCUAUCCAAAUGAUUAAAAAAAAAAGUUAAAAGAGUAAAUAUUUCGGUAUUGAUACCCGGGGUACUUCUCAUUAAGCUUUGAUAGUGCAGGAGGUGCAGCAACCGCACAAAUCUGUAAUCAGGGAGAUACCAGAUAAAGCUUUAUAUCUAACGGAUAAAUGUUCUAUAUCCAGCGUUUCAGAAAACAGCUAUAUGCACGCUUACCACUUUGAUUUGCUGAACAGACAAACCACGUUCCUUCAACAUAUCCAUCGCCGCAAUUAUCGUACCGCCUGAAAUACAAACAAACUCAUGUUUUGAAGCAGUAGAAAACAUUUUGUAUUACCAUGUUAUGCAUUCACAUUCCUAUGUAUCGCUUACAUUUGAGACACACAUCAAAACACUUAACAACAAUUGUUCUACUGUGGUGGUGGCUGAAAUGACAAGACUUCUUUACCUGUAGCAAGCAUUGGGUCCACCAGAAAAACUCUGGAAUUCUUGGGAAAUUCGACAGGCAGCCUGAAGAACAUGUAUGUCCAAAGCUGUCAUCAUAAACGCUUCAGUACUAACUACAUAAUGAUGCGAAGAAGUUCUUACUUGUUGAGAUACACAGAAGGCAAGAGCGUUUUCUCGUCCCGACUUAUUCCUGAUAAAAAGGAUAAACACAGAGACGUAAGAACCUAUAACAAUCCUAUCGUCAGGCCAGAGAUAAUAUAGUAAGUAUAUAUUUACCUAAAUGAUAUAUUUUAUUUGCAGGCAAAACUGUUGAUGCGUGUUCCGCAAGAGCAAGACCAGCUCUUAAAAUCGGAACAACCUACGCAGAGACAAAAGCCAAGAACGAGAAAUGUCCAAACUUUUUGGAUUGACAAAAAAAAAAAAAAAAAUUCAAAUAAAAAACAUCCCAAAAAUAAAAAAAAGAGGCAGCAGCAUAGAUUCUCUCAAUCUCUUCUUAUGUCACUGUUGUUUGGUUUCGACCUUCUUCUUCUGCCAGAGCCUGUCGACGCCACUGUCUGCGUCUCC